rnacentral:rRNA from 1 species
GAACACAUAAGCCAGGGAGUGCAACCCGGGGAAUUGAAACAUCUCAGUACCCGGAGGAGAAGAAAGCAAAAGCGAUUCCGGGAGUAGCGGCGAGCGGAACCGGAGAAGCCCAAACCGGCCACAGGGCCGGGGUUGUAGGGCCGCACAAAGCCAUUGCGGAAGGCGAGCGGAACGGCAUCGGAAGGCCGGCCAAAGGGGGUGAGAGCCCCGUACGCGAAGCCAGACGCAGGCGAGCGGAACCCUGAGUACGGCGGGGCACGUGGAACCCUGCCGGAAACCGCCUGGACCAUCAGGCAAGGCUAAAUACUCCCGCAUGACCGAUAGUGGACAAGUACCGUGAGGGAAAGAUGAAAAGAACCGCGGGAGCGGAGUGAAACAGAUCCUGAAACCGUGCGCCUACGAGAAGCCGGAGCCCGUCAAGGGGUGACGGCGUGCCUUUUGUAGAAUGAACCGGCGAGUUGCCCUCGCGCGCGAGGUUAAGCGGAAGACGCGGAGCCGAAGCGAAAGCGAGUCUUAAGAGGGCGCCAAGUGCGCGGGGGCAGACCCGAAGCCGUUGCGACCUAUCCCAGGGCAGGCUGAAGGCUGGGUGGUUCCAGCUGGAGGGCCGAACCGACCACCGUUGAAAAGUUGGCGGAUGACCUUGGGAUAGCGGAGAAAUUCCAAUCGAGCACGGCGAUAGCUGGUUCUCCCCGAAAUAGCUUUAGGGCUAGCGUGGGGCGGACCCCUGUGGAGGUAGAGCACUGAAUCCGCGCGGGCGGCGCCUAGCCGUACCAAUCGGAAUCAAACUCCGAAUGCCACAGCGGGAUGCCCUGCAGUCAGACGGCGGGUGAUAAGGUCCGUCGUCAAGAGGGAAACAGCCCAGACCGCCUGAUAAGGCCCCGAAAUCCGGGCCGAGUGGGAAAGGAUGUGGGGUCGCGCAGACAGCUAGGAGGUUGGCUCAGAAGCAGCCACCCUUCAAAGAGUGCGUAACAGCUCACUAGUCGAGUGGCCCUGCGCCGAAAAUUAACCGGGGCUAAGCCCGGUGCCGAAUCAGCGGAUUAUGUGUUUCAUGUAGUGGUAGGGGAGCGUUCCGCGCAGCGGGGAAGCCGUACCGGAAGGGGCGGUGGAGCGCGCGGAAGAGAGAAUGCCGGUGUGAGUAGCGAGACGCAGGUGGGAAUCCUGCGCGCCGAUAGGACAAGGUUUCCAGGGGAAGGUUCGUCCGCCCUGGGUAAGCCGGGGCCUAAGGCGAGGCCGAGAGGCGUAGCCGAAUGGGAAGCGGUUGAAGAUUACCGCGCCCGCGGAUCGAGUGACGGAGUGACGGAGAAGGCUGGCGCCAGCCCUUACUGGAUUGGGCGCCGCGCGCGCAUAGGAGGCGGGCAUGGAAAUCAGCCCGCGGGAUCCAAGGCGCGCGGAGAGCGGAAGCAGAGAUGCGAGUAGCGAAUCGCGUGAUGCCGGCUCCCUGGAAAAGCUUCUAGCGCUAAUCGAUCAGCGGCCCGUACCGAAACCGACACAGGUGUCCAGGUCGAGGAGACCGAGGCGAGCGAGAGAACUGUUGCCAAGGAACUCGGCAAAAAGGCCCCGUAAGUUCGCGAGAAGGGGCGCUCGUAAGAGCCGCAGUGAAUAGGCCCUAGCAACUGUUUAACUAAAACAUAGCUCCCUGCGAAGCCGCAAGGCGAGGUAUAGGGGGUGACGCCUGCCCGGUGCCGGAAGGUCAAGGGGACUUGUCAGCCGCGAGGCGAAGCAUCGAACCGAAGCCCCGGUGAACGGCGGCCGUAACUAUAACGGUCCUAAGGUAGCGAAAUUCCUUGUCAGGUAAGUUCUGACCCGCACGAAAGGCGUAAUGAUUUGG